rnacentral:tRNA from 1 species
GGGCGGUUAGCUCAGUUGGUCAGAGCGCCAUGCUUACACCGUGGAUGUCGGGGGUUCGAGCCCCUCACCGCCCA